rnacentral:lncRNA from 1 species
GGUUGCAGUGAGCCAAGAUCACGCCACUGCACUGCAGCCUCCUUGGCGAGGGAGAAACUGCGUCCAAAAAAAUUCCCUGAGGGAAACCUGUAUGCAGAACGCCCUGAUCCCAAUAAAGGGUUGGCCUGGGGGUCCCUGUCUCUCUCCACUUUCCCUGGCCUCCCAGCAGUCUGUGCACCCCAGGGCCCGUGGGUGAUAAAAGCUGUUUCUAUCCUGUGUCUCUUGAUCACUGAGGGCUGCUCUCCCUCACAUAGAUCCUAUGUGAAAACUGCCCCAGAGAUGUGGCCGAGAGCCUGGGAGCUUCCCAGAGGAAUGUGCCCGGUCAGCAGCCAGCCCAGGCCUGGGAGCUGGGGCCGUCCUCUUCCCUGGUGGGACCUUCCCACUCCUCCUGGCCCAAGCUCAGAUGGGCGGUUUUGUCCGAAAUGGACUCGCACAGCCCCACGAGCCACCCCCCACCCGCCUCCCAGGGCCCCACACUCACUCUGCAGAAGCACAAGUUUCCAAAGCAGGAUUCGGGAUGGCAGCGCCAUGGCCCCCGCCCAGCCCCAGGCUUUGUCCCACUCGGCUCUAAGUCUCUCUCCAGAAAAACAGCCCUACCCCCUCCCCCUCCUUAGCACCCGCGGUGACAUCACGGAGGCCUGGGCCUGUCUACGGUCUGGGGACCGCCCCCUCUGGCUCCUGCCGGGCCCCUUGGCCUCCCCCGUCGUUGCUGGCCUGCUGGGGAGGGGCAGUGUGGGAGCAGAGGCCCAGCCCCUCACCGGUCAGGCCUGGGGAGGGGGUAGUGACCGCACCCUUGGAGGGACAAGAAGGUCCGAGGGCGUAAGAAGGUCCCUGUCUCACGUCUAGGAGCCUCCCGGGCCUGUGGUGCAGGGUUGGGACUGUUGGGUGAGCGGCCCUCCGCCCCACCUCUGGCCUCCCCCCACGUGAGCCACCUCAGGGCAGGGUCCUCCCCUCUGUCUGUUCCAGGCCCCAGAAAGGCCUCCCAGCGCUGAGAGCUGAGACCGCCCCCACCUACGGUGCACCCCGGUGCCCUCCUUCAGACCAGAUGGCCCUUCCAGCUCCAACCCUUGGCCCUGCAUGACCUUGGUACCCGUCUCCUCUGGGGGCCACGGUGGGCUCCCUUGGGCCAGGAUGAUGGACGCUGCCAGUCACUAGUCCCCUUUACAAUCUGGAGAGUCAGCCAGGGACAGGGGGCCCUGAGCACUGGGAGGC